GAGCAGCAGUGGGGAAUAUUGCACAAUGGGCGCAAGCCUGAUGCAGCCAUGCCGCGUGUAUGAAGAAGGCCUUCGGGUUGUAAAGUACUUUCAGUCGUGAGGAAGGUGGUAGUGUUAAUAGCACUAUCAUUUGACGUUAGCGACAGAAGAAGCACCGGCUAACUCCGUGCCAGCAGCCGCGGUAAUACGGAGGGUGCGAGCGUUAAUCGGAAUUACUGGGCGUAAAGCGCAUGCAGGUGGUUAGUUAAGUCAGAUGUGAAAGCCCGGGGCUCAACCUCGGAAUUGCAUUUGAAACUGGCUGACUAGAGUACUGUAGAGGGGGGUAGAAUUUCAGGUGUAGCGGUGAAAUGCGUAGAGAUCUGAAGGAAUACCGGUGGCGAAGGCGGCCCCCUGGACAGAUACUGACACUCAGAUGCGAAAGCGUGGGGAGCAAACAGGAUUAGAUACCCUGGUAGUCCACGCCGUAAACGAUGUCUACUUGGAGGUUGUGGCCUUGAGCCGUGGCUUUCGGAGCUAACGCGUUAAGUAGACCGCCUGGGGAGUACGGUCGCAAGAUUAAAACUCAAAUGAAUUGACGGGGGCCCGCACAAGCGGUGGAGCAUGUGGUUUAAUUCGAUGCAACGCGAAGAACCUUACCUACUCUUGACAUCCAGAGAAGCCAGUAGAGAUACAGGUGUGCCUUCGGGAACUCUGA
rnacentral:rRNA from 1 species